UGGGGAAUUUUGGACAAUGGGGGAAACCCUGAUCCAGCCAUCCCGCGUGUGCGAUGAAGGCCUUCGGGUUGUAAAGCACUUUUGGCAGGAAAGAAACGUCAUGGGUUAAUACCCCGUGAAACUGACGGUACCUGCAGAAUAAGCACCGGCUAACUACGUGCCAGCAGCCGCGGUAAUACGUAGGGUGCAAGCGUUAAUCGGAAUUACUGGGCGUAAAGCGUGCGCAGGCGGUUCGGAAAGAAAGAUGUGAAAUCCCAGAGCUCAACUUUGGAACUGCAUUUUUAACUACCGGGCUAGAGUGUGUCAGAGGGAGGUGGAAUUCCGCGUGUAGCAGUGAAAUGCGUAGAUAUGCGGAGGAACACAGAUGGCGAAGGCAGCCUCCUGGGAUAACACUGACGCUCAUGCACGAAAGCGUGGGGAGCAAACAGG
rnacentral:rRNA from 1 species